rnacentral:sRNA from 1 species
CCAAUUUUCACAUUCGAUGCUGCCAUGUUGUCUGCCAUCACCGAGAUGAUAAAAUGAAUGAAAAUAAGGGAAUAAGGCUGUGCACAAGGUAAAAGAAACAAUGUCAAUGGGGUGUUUACUUCUGGAAAAUCCACGGCUAAACAGAGGACAAAUAUAAGUAAAUGAAUCGAGUCUCAACAGUCAACACCCAAGGCCACUGCAUGCAUCAUCUGCAUGAUCAUGAGCACGUUUUUGAAAAAGUGUCUGCCCUGGUGACUGGGUUACACAGACCUAAAGAAAACCAUGCAUGAACUCGCUGAUUUUAUGAUCAAAUGAUGCAACCAAAAAAGAGUGAAGACAGAAUUUGUGUAAGACUUACGUAGAAAAGCAUAUAAACAACAGUGCCGAAGUCUGACCAUUCUAUUGUGGGCAUCGGAUAUUUGUGUGAUAUUGUUUAUGUGUGAAAUUACAUCGGAGAGCGCGUACAGGAGACUGUCAUAAAAAAGACACCGAGAAUGCCUUAAAGAAUCCGUGAUUAAUUGUAACAUGACCAGUGACCGUGCAGGGCUUAAUUGUGAACUAUAUGGUUUGAACUUCGCUCAUUGUGAACUUUUGUACAAGUCCAUCUGUGCAUGCAUGUUGUGAUCAAACUGCAUUCAAGUUUAUCGAACUGCAGCAACAAAUCAUCACCUAUCGGUUGAGUACUAUUUGUCAAAUUUCAUUAUGGUUUGUUCAUCAUUUUUGUGUUCAUUUUUGAAAUUUAUAAAAUGUUAAUUACUUGUGUCCUUUAUCUCUAAUUUUGCUGCAACUGUUUAAGUUAAACAUCUUUGUUAAUCACCAGUAGAAGUUAUUUGUUAAUUGAUUGAAAAGCAUAGUACAUGUAUUAGUAACUCAUAAUUAAAUGAUUAUUAGUGUU